ensembl:misc_RNA
ACCACCUGUAUUUAAAGAUCAGAAGUCCAACAGGUUCAGCUCUUCAACCCCACAGAUCCUAGUUUUUCUGUUCAGUUUUUUAUCCAUACAUUUCUAGAUCACUGAAAGUUGUAUUAAAAA